rnacentral:rRNA from 1 species
AUUGAACGCUGGCGGCAGGCCUAACACAUGCAAGUCGAGCGGAUGAAGGGAGCUUGCUCCUGGAUUCAGCGGCGGACGGGUGAGUAAUGCCUAGGAAUCUGCCUGGUAGUGGGGGAUAACGUCCGGAAACGGGCGCUAAUACCGUAUACGUCCUGAGGGAGAAAGUGGGGGAUCUUCGGACCUCACGCUAUCAGAUGAGCCUAGGUCGGAUUAGCUAGUUGGUGGGGUAAAGGCCUACCAAGGCGACGAUCCGUAACUGGUCUGAGAGGAUGAUCAGUCACACUGGAACUGAGACACGGUCCAGACUCCUACGGGAGGCAGCAGUGGGGAAUACUGGACAAUGGGCGAAAGCCUGAUCCAGCCAUGCCGCGUGUGUGAAGAAGGUCUUCGGAUUGUAAAGCACUUUAAGUUGGGAGGAAGGGCAGUAAGUUAAUACCUUGCUGUUUUGACGUUACCAACAGAAUAAGCACCGGCUAACUUCGUG